rnacentral:rRNA from 1 species
UAGGGAAUCUUCCGCAAUGGGCGAAAGCCUGACGGAGCAACGCCGCGUGAGUGAUGAAGGUCUUCGGAUCGUAAAACUCUGUUAUUAGGGAAGAACAAAUGUGUAAGUAACUAUGCACGUCUUGACGGUACCUAAUCAGAAAGCCACGGCUAACUACGUGCCAGCAGCCGCGGUAAUACGUAGGUGGCAAGCGUUAUCCGGAAUUAUUGGGCGUAAAGCGCGCGUAGGCGGUUUUUUAAGUCUGAAGUGAAAGCCCACGGCUCAACCGUGGAGGGUCAUUGGAAACUGGAAACCUUGAGUGCAGAAGAGGAAAGUGGAAUUCCAUGUGUAGCGGUGAAAUGCGCAGAGAUAUGGAGGAACACCAGUGGCGAAGGCGACUUUCUGGUCUGUAACUGACGCUGAUGUGCGAAAGCGUGGGGAUCAAACAGG